UAAUUGCACUGUAUUAAUUUG
ensembl:piRNA 21ur-3657 ncRNA